UGGAGCUGUGUGAGAUGAAAAUCUCAUGUACGGUUCUGUAAUAGCGAUGACAAGGGUGAUCUUAUUAUCGACUAUAU
rnacentral:ncRNA from 1 species